rnacentral:snRNA from 1 species
UGCGUCAACGCACACCACUAAAACUGGAGCAGUGCAGAGAUGAUGAGCAUAGCCCUGCGCAGGAGGACACUCGACUCUGUGAAGCGUUCCACGUGAUU